AGCGAACGCUGGCGGCAGGCCUAACACAUGCAAGUCGAGCGCACAGCAAUGGGAGCGGCAGACGGGUGAGUAACGCGUGGGGAUCUGCCCGAUGGUACGGAAUAAUUCCGGGAAACUGGGACUAAUACCGUAUGUGCCCGUAAGGGGAAAGAUUUAUAGCCAUCGGAUGAACCCGAGUCGGAUUAGCAAGUUGGUGUGGUAAAGGCACGCCAAGGCGUCGAUCCGUAGCUGGUCUGAGAGGAUGAUCAGCCACACUGGGGCUGAGACACGGUCCAGACUCCUAGGGGAUGCAGCAGUGGGUAAUAUAGGACAGUGGGCGCAAGCCUGAUCCAGCCAUGCCGCGCGAGUGAUGAAGGCCUUAGGGUUGUAAGGCUCUUUCGCCGGUGAAGAUAAUGACGGUAACCGGAGAAGAAGUCCCGGCUAACUUCGUGCCAGCAGCCGCAGUAAGAC
rnacentral:rRNA from 1 species